ACCAAGAUGGACGCUUCCAUUUGACUACCUUUCCUGAGCGGGGAAACUUACGCCCGCCGUCCUCAGUUGCUGCUCGCUCUUCAGCAGUGGGGGAAGGAGAGGGAAUGAAAAGUUGCAGCGGCGGAGGAGUCCCGGUGAACGACUCUGCUGUUGCCCUGGGGGCGCAGCCAGGGCUCGCUGCGCCUGACGCGUCCUGAGUUACUCAGAAAUAAUGUUGAUAUCUGGAACCCAUGUCGAACUUCUAUGAAGAAAGGGCAACAAUGAUUGCAGCUGGGGAUUUGCAGGAAUUUGUUCCUUUUGGUCGAGACCACUGCAAGCAUCACCCUAAUGCUUUGAAUCUUCAGCUUCGUCAGCUUCAGCCAGCGUCUGAGUUAUGGUCUUCUGAUGGUGCUGCUGGUUUGGUGGGAUCUCUUCAGGAGGUUACAAUCCACGAGAAACAGAAGGAAAGCUGGCAGUUAAGAAAAGGUGGAAGCGAAAUUGGAGAAGUGGAUUAUGAUGAGGAACUCUAUGUGGCUGGAAAUAUGGUGAUCUGGAGCAGAGGAAGUAAAAGCCAGGCCUUGGCUGUUUAUAAAGCCUUUACAGUUGAUAGUCCUGUUCAACAGGCAUUGUGGUGUGACUUCGUUAUAUCACAGGAUAAGUCUGAAAAAGCCUAUAGCACUGCUGCAGUGGAAAAGUGUAUGUGUGUGCUGCAGAGCUCCUGCAUCAACGUGCACAGCACGGAGGGGAAGGAUUACAUCGCGUCCCUGCCUUUUCAGGUUGCAAAUGUUUGGCCCACCAAAUAUGGAUUACUGUUCGAACGAAGCAGUUCUUCACAUGAGCUACCUCCAGGUCCACCCAGAGAACCUUUACCAACUAUGUUCAGCAUGCUGCAUCCACUAGAUGAAAUAACCCCACUUGUUUGUAAAUCUGGAAGUCUUUUUGGUUCAUCACGGGUGCAAUAUGUUGUAGAUCAUGCAAUAAAGAUAGUUUUUCUCAACACUGAUCCCUCCAUUGUAAUGACCUAUGACACUGUUCAGAAUCUGCAUUCUGUGUGGGUUCUUCGGAGAGUCAAAGCAGAGGAAGAAAAUGCUGUUUUAAAAUUCUCUGAGCAGGGGGGAACUCCACAGAAUGUGGCCCCUAGUAGCUCCCUCACGGCACACCUCAGAAGCCUCUCUAAAGGAGACUCCCCCAUGGCCUCGCCUUUCCAGAAUUACUCCUCCAUCCACAGCCAGAGCCGCUCGGCCUCCUCACCCAGUCUGCACUCGCGCUCUCCUUCGGUCUCCAACAUGGCGGCCCUCAGUCGCGCUCAUUCCCCUGCCUUAGGAGUACACUCUUUUACGGGGGUGCAGAGGUUCAGCCUGUCGGGCCAUAAUCAAUCUCCAAGGAGACACAGUAUUUCUCAUUCUCCAGAAAGUAAUUCGAAUAGCUCUUUACUUGCACCAGAAACAGAGCCAAUUGUUCCAGAACUUUGUAUUGACCAUUUAUGGACAGAAGCAAUUACUAAUAUAAGAGAGAAAAAUUCACAGGCCUCAAAGGUGUUCAUUACAUCUGACUUGUGUGGGCAGAAGUUCUUGUGCUUUUUGGUGGAGUCCCAGCUGCAGUUACGCUGUGUAAAAUUUCAAGAGAGUAACGAUAAGAGCCAGCUCAUCUUUGGUGCCAUCACCAACAUACAGGCAAAGGAUGCAGCACCAGUGGAGAAGAUAGACACUAUGCUGGUCCUGGAAAGCAGUGGAACCCUGGUGCUCUACACAGGAGUGGUUCGGGUGGGAAAGGUGUUCAUUCCUGGACUGCCAGCUCCUUCCCUGACAAUGUCCAACCCGAUGCCUCGGCCCAGCACUCCGCUCGACAGCGUUAGCAGUCCUAUGCCUCUGAGUAAGCUACUCGGAUCCUUGGAUGAGGUCGUUCUGUUGUCUCCAGUUCCAGAACUAAGGGAUUCUUCAAAGCUUCAUGAUUCUCUCUAUAAUGAGGAUUGUACUUUCCAACAGCUUGGAACUUACAUUCAUUCUAUAAGAGACCCUGUCCGUAACAGAGUGACUCUAGAACUGAGUAAUGGCUCCAUGGUUAGGAUCACUCUUCCCGAAAUUGCCACAUCUGAAUUAGUACAAACAUGUUUGCAAGCAAUUAAGUUCAUCCUGCCAAAAGAAAUAGCUGUUCAGGUGCUUGUCAAGUGGUACAGUGUCCACAGUGCUCCAGGUGGACCGAGCUAUCAUUCAGAGUGGAAUUUAUUUGUGACUUGUCUCAUGAACUUGAUGGGUUAUAACACAGACCGCUUAGCAUGGACAAGAAAUUUUGACUUUGAAGGGUCACUUUCCCCAGUAAUUGCACCCAAAAAAGCAAGGCCUUCUGAGACGGGAUCUGAUGACGAUUGGGAAUAUUUACUCAAUUCAGACUACCAUCAGAAGGUUGAAUCUCACCUUUUGAAUAGAUCUUUAUGUCUGAGUCCUUUGGAAGCUUCUCAGAUGAAGGAUGAAGACUUGUCACAGAAUCUCAGUCUGGAUUCUUCUACACUCCUCUUCCCUCACAUACCUGCAAUUUUUUUUGUUCUUCACCUUGUCUAUGAGGAGCUUAAGUUGAAUACUCUGAUGGGGGAAGGAAUUUGUUCUCUUGUUGACCUCCUCAUUCAGUUGGCAAGGGACUUGAAAUUGGAGCCUUACUUAGAUCAUUACUACAGAGAUUACCCAACACUUUUCAGAACUACUGGACAAGUGUGCACAAUUGAUCAAGGUCAAACAGGGUUUAUGCAUCAUCCAUCAUUUUUUACCUCUGAGCCACCAAGCAUCUACCAGUGGGUGAGUUCUUGUCUGAAGGGUGAAGGGACGCCACCCUAUCCUUACCUCCCUGGCAUCUGCGAGAGAAGCCGACUUGUAGUUUUGAGUAUCGCGCUCUAUAUUCUUGGUGAUGAAAGCUCUGUUUUUGAUGAAUCCUCACGCUACUUAUCAAGAAUAACUCCAGCCCCCCCAAAGUCACAAGCAGAUCAAGAGGAAAACAGGUUUAGUUUUAGUCAUUCUACAUCGGUCUCUAAUCUAGCUGAAAAAUUAGUUGUCUGGAUGGCCAGUGUAGGUUUCACUUUAAGAGACUUGGAAACUCUUCCCUUUGGAAUUGCUCUUCCCAUCAGAGAUGCAAUCUAUCAUUGUCGCGAGCAGCCUGCUGCAGACUGGCCAGAGGCUGUGUGUCUCUUGAUUGGACGUCAGGACCUAUCCAAGCAGGCCUGUGAAGGGAACUUACCCAAAGGGAAAUCUGUGCUCUCAUCAGAUGUUCCUUCAGGAACAGAGACUGAGGAGGAGGAUGAUGGCAUGAACGACAUGAAUCAGGAAGUUAUGUCACUCAUAUGGAAUGAAGAUUUAAGGGUGCAGGAUGUGCGGAGGCUGCUUCAAAGUGCGCAUCCCGUCCGUGUCAACGUCGUGCAGUACCCUGAGCUCAGCGACCAUGAGUUCAUUGAGGAAAAGGAAAACAGAUUGCUGCAGUUGUGCCAACGAACUAUGGCCCUUCCAGUAGGACGAGGGAUGUUUACCUUGUUUUCAUACCAUCCCGUUCCAACGGAACCAUUGCCUAUUCCUAAGUUGAAUUUGACUGGGCGUGCUCCUCCUCGGAACACAACAGUAGACCUUAACAGUGGGAACAUUGACGUGCCUCCCAACAUGACAAGCUGGGCCAGUUUUCAUAACGGUGUGGCUGCUGGCCUGAAGAUAGCUCCGGCUUCUCAGAUCGACUCGGCCUGGAUUGUUUACAAUAAACCCAAGCAUGCCGAGUUAGCCAAUGAGUAUGCUGGCUUCCUCAUGGCCCUUGGCCUGAAUGGGCACCUCACCAAGCUGGCCACUCUCAACAUCCAUGACUACUUGACUAAGGGUCAUGAAAUGACAAGCAUUGGACUACUCCUUGGUGUUUCUGCUGCUAAGUUGGGCACCAUGGAUAUGUCCAUCACUCGCCUGCUUAGCAUCCACAUUCCUGCUCUCUUACCCCCAACAUCCACGGAGCUUGAUGUUCCUCACAAUGUCCAAGUGGCGGCAGUAGUUGGCAUUGGCCUCGUAUACCAAGGAACAGCUCACAGGCAUACUGCGGAAGUCCUGUUGGCUGAAAUAGGCCGGCCCCCUGGCCCUGAGAUGGAAUACUGCACUGACAGAGAGUCCUACUCUUUAGCUGCUGGCCUGGCCCUGGGCAUGGUCUGCUUGGGGCACGGCAGCAAUCUCAUAGGUAUGUCCGACCUCAAUGUGCCUGAGCAGCUCUAUCAGUACAUGGUCGGUGGUCACAGGCGCUUUCAGGCGGGAAUGCACCGGGAAAAACACAAAUCUCCAAGUUACCAAAUCAAAGAAGGAGAUACCAUAAAUGUGGAUGUAACUUGUCCAGGCGCCACUCUUGCUUUGGCUAUGAUCUACUUAAAAACCAAUAACAGGUCCAUUGCUGACUGGCUCCGAGCUCCUGACACAAUGUAUUUGCUGGACUUUGUAAAACCAGAGUUUCUCUUGCUUAGGACACUUGCUCGAUGCCUGAUUUUGUGGGAUGAUAUUUUACCAAGUUCCAAGUGGGUUGAUAGCAAUGUUCCUCAAAUUAUAAGAGAAAAUAGUAUCUCUCUCAGUGAAAUUGAAUUGCCUUGCUCAGAGGAUUUGAACCUGGAAACCUUGUCGCAAGCACAUGUCUACAUAAUUGCAGGAGCCUGCUUGUCUCUGGGUUUUCGAUUUGCUGGCUCAGAAAAUUUGUCAGCAUUUAACUGCUUGCAUAAAUUUGCAAAAGAUUUUAUGAGUUAUUUGUCUGCACCGAAUGCUUCUGUGACGGGUCCUUACAACCUGGAAACAUGCCUAAGUGUGGUGCUGCUGUCUCUGGCCAUGGUCAUGGCUGGCUCAGGGAAUCUAAAGGUUUUGCAGCUUUGUCGUUUCUUGCACAUGAAAACAGGUGGUGAAAUGAACUAUGGUUUCCACUUAGCCCAUCAUAUGGCCCUUGGAAUUCUAUUUUUGGGAGGAGGAAGGUACUCUCUGAGCACCUCCAACUCCUCCAUUGCCGCCCUCCUCUGUGCCCUUUACCCGCACUUCCCAGCUCACAGCACUGACAAUCGGUACCAUCUCCAGGCUCUGAGACACCUGUACGUGCUGGCUGCAGAACCACGGUUGCUGGUGCCUGUGGAUGUGGACACAAACACUCCCUGCUAUGCACUCGUAGAAGUUAUAUAUAAGGGCACUCAGUGGUACGAGCAAACCAAGGAAGAACUGAUGGCUCCCACCCUUCUUCCAGAGCUCCACCUUUUAAAGCAGAUUAAAGUUAAAGGCCCACGAUACUGGGAGCUGCUCAUAGACUUAAGCAAGGGAACACAGCACUUGAAGUCAAUCCUUUCCAAGGAUGGGGUUUUAUAUGUUAAGCUCAGAGCAGGCCAGCUCUCCUACAAGGAAGAUCCAAUGGGAUGGCAGAGCUUGUUGGCCCAGACUGUUGCUAACAGGAACUCUGAAGCUCGGGCUUUCAAGCCUGAAACGAUUUCAGCAUUCACUUCUGAUCCAGCACUUCUGUCAUUUGCUGAAUAUUUCUGCAAACCCACUGUGAACAUGGGUCAGAAACAGGAAAUUCUGGAUCUCUUUUCUUCAGUACUCUACGAGUGUGUUACUCAGGAGACCCCGGAGAUGUUGCCUGCGUACAUAGCAAUGGAUCAGGCUGUGAGAAGACUGGGAAGAAGAGAAAUGUCUGAGACAUCUGAACUUUGGCAGAUAAAGUUGGUGUUAGAGUUUUUCAGCUCCAGAAGCCAUCAGGAGCGGAUGCAGAACUACCCAAAGCGGGGGCUCUUCAUGAACUCUGAGUUUCUCCCUGUCGUAAAAUGCUCUAUUGAUAACACCCUGGAUCAAUGGCUACAAGCUGGGGGCGAUGUGUGUGUGCACGCCUAUCUCAGCGGGCAGCCCUGCGAGGAGGCGCAGCUGGGCAUGCUGGCCUGCUUCCUGGUCUACCACUCCGUGCCGGCCCCGCAGCACCUGCCAUCUGUUGGACUGGAAGGGAGCACAAGCUUCGCUGAACUCCUCUUCAGAUUUAAACAGCUGAAAAUGCCCGUGCGUGCUUUGCUAAGAUUAGCGCCUUUGCUUCUUGGAAACCCACAGCCAAUGGUUAUGUGAUCAUGUCUGGUGAAAAACCUGCCCUGAAAUGUGACUUCUGCAUAAAAACAUGACCAAACAACAGAGCUAAAGAGACAUUUCUCACCCUGAAGACUGGACCCAACCUCCUGAGGACAAGGUGACAAGAGGUUACUCAACAGUAACUGAUGUUCUGUGAAAGGCUGAAGAAGCAGAGGGAUGCCUGAGGACCCAUACCUGCCUCUGCCUCUGCCUCCAGCAAGCUCCUUCUCAUCUGGCCCCUUGUCCCCCUGAUUCUGUGCUCAGGCAUGGCCUCUCGAGAGGCAAAAUUGGAGGCCAGAGGGCUCCUGUUCUCCAGAGCUGCAGGGAGAGAGGAGGGCCCCAGCUGGGAAAUCCUGGGCUCCUUCCUUCCCAUUCACCUUGAGGACUGCCUUUGACAUCUAAAAGGAUGAGAAUGACCCUCUUUCCCUUUGCACUUGUCUGUAGAGGGGUGUGGGAAUUGAGUUAUUUACUUUUCUUUGCCAAGGAAAAGCUGCUGUCCCUGCCUCUUUCCAUGGAUCCUUCUGUUCCGAGGUGACCUCUGUGGAGGUGAAAAUAAGAUUCUGUACUCAUAAAUGUGUUAAUAGUGACCGGAGUAAACAGGAUGAUGGCCUCCCUGUCUCACCCAGCAGACCCAUUCUUGUGAGAGCCAGGGAUGAUGUUCCUGCACCUCCAUUCAGAGACCAAGGGUGAGGGCUAACGACCACACACCUGCCUGCCCUUCCAUGCACACCUUCUUCUUCUGACUCUUCUUGACUGCAAGAGUCUCCGUGGCAGCAAGCACAGAGCUCAGAGGGUUCCUGUCUUCUCGUACCACAAAAAGGAAGGUUCUCAACCUGUUUCUGACCAGGCUGUUCCUUUCUGCUUAACCUGCUCCUUGUGAAACCUAGUAAUAAUUAUAAUGGCAGUACAAGUAGCUGGCAGUUACUGAUUGCUCACUGAAUGUCAGAUAUUGGUAAGUGUACUAAGGAUUACCUCAUUCGUUCCCUGUAAUGAGCUGUGAGAUAAGCUGUGUAUGACUUACCUGAUUCACAGACGAGAAAGCCAAGAAUGAGGUGUGCAGGAUCUGCUCCUUGGCUGGUAAGAGCACUUUGGACUUGGGAUUAGAACUUGUGUCUGACAGUGCUCAAGGGAAGAACGGCUAGUGGCAGGAAAUGUGAACCUCAGUCACAUUUCCAUUAGGGUUGAGCUGGGUGAUCUUCCAUACUUCUAGUUCUCUCGUCAGUUCUACCUAACUAAACAUUGCUGUGAACCACUACAAAACCGUGGGCAAUAAAGCCUGGCUAAAAUGUGACCGGAGCGCCCAUGUCUGUCUGAAAGACCCUCGAGGUGAUGGAGGCAGUGCCUCCGGCCUCCCUGAGGAAGGCCAGUGCAGUGCACCCCACCCGAGGACACUGAUGCUCAUGACUGGUGCAGGGCUGCCUCUUCUCGCCCCUCCCACUGUUCUGGCUCCUGAGGCUCUCAGGGCAGCCCCUGACUACUGAGUGCUCUGGGAGAGUCCGCUUUGCUCUCCUCCUGUUUUCACUUCCUUCUCCCUUUCCCUCACCUCUCCCCCCCCACCCCAAAAUCUGAGACUUGUUGUUACACCUACUGCACUCCCCAGUCACUCAUCUGGAGACUCCCAGUGGGUCCCACCCACCUCUCCUGGGACUGUGGAGUAGUUCAGUAUCCCACGCUCGGUCUUGUGCAGGAGCGAGUGCUGCCCAGCUUGUGUGAGCACCCUGUGGCUCUUGUCAGGGUUUCGGCCCUCACACUUACCCAGAGCAUGGCCUCAGAACAUGAUGAAAAGAGUGCUCACCAUAGUCAGUCUUCAGGGUUAAGUGGCUCCCAGGAUUCCGGAGCCUCGCCAGGAGUCAGGAUGACCUCAGACCAUUCCACCAGGAAGUGCUCUGGUGUGUAAGUCACCCCAGGAAAAGGCCAUGGCUGGAGGGGGUUGGCGUCCCAGCCUGAACACCUGGGUCACUUCCUAUUAUCUCUGUGUUAGCUCCACUGUGAAACGCAUCUUGUGUUAAAUCCAUCAACGACUCCAAAUGGAAGUGAUCAUCUUUCAAAAAAUGGAGAAAAUGCAAAAAUAAAAGUUGGUUAAUUACUCAUUCAUGGUAACUUACUAAGGUAGUUUUACUGUUUUAUUUGUGUUUAGCUAUGAGCAUAUUAAGAUUAAAGAAUUUUAACUUAUAUUUUGGAUAAUUGGAGACUCAUACGCCCAGUGUCCCCCAAUGGUGCAAAUUUGCAUAACCAUAGCACAGUGUCACCACAGGAAAUUGACCCUGUACAGUCCAUCGACCUGAUGCAGUUUUGUGUGCACCAGUUGUGUGCGUGUUUAGUUUUGUGUGACUGUAUGACAUGGGCAGCCCCAUGGGAUCACCACCAAGAUGCAGAACAUUCAAGAUACAGAACAAGCAUCCUUCAUGCUACUUUCUUAUAGUAUGUCCUCAACCCCUAAAAACCACUAAUUUUUUCCAUCUCAUUUUGUAAUUUUAAAAAUACCGUAUAGCCCUAGCCUAGUGGCUUAGAUGGCUGGAGAGUCAUCACAUGCACCGAAAGGUUGCGAGUUCAAUCCCUGGUCAGGACACAUACCUGGGUAGUGGGUUUGACCCCUGGUCAGGGUGUGUACAGGUGGCAACUGAUUGAUGUUUCUCUCUCACAAUGGUGCUCCUCUCUCUGUCUCCCUGUUUCUCUGUCUCUCUGUUAAGUCAAUAAGCAUAUCCUCAGGGGAGGAUUAAAAAACUAAAUUGUAUAAACAGAACUAGAUAGUGUAUAGUCUUCAGGGGUUGGCUUUUCACACUUAGCAUAAUUCUCUUAAGAAUCACUCAGUUGUUGAAUAAAUUGCUAUUUUAUUCUUACUGCUUUGUAUUACUCGAUGGCCUUAUCGUGAAGUGCGUAUUUAGUAUUGUAAGAAUCCUCCACACUCUUCUACAGUGACCCCGGCCUUUUACGUCUCCACCAGCAAUGAUGCGUUUUUCAGUUUCCCCACAUCAUUACCAGCAUUUGGGGUUAUCACUAGUCUUUAACCAUACAUUACUGCGGUUUAAUUGGCAUUUCCCUAGUAGGUAAUGAUGUUAACGCUUUUUUGUGUGUUUAUUUGCCUUAUGUAUAUCCUCUUUGAUGUCUGUUCAUGUCUUUUCUAAUUGAAUUGUUUCCUUUUCUACUUUUGGGUUUUCAGAGCUUUUUACACGCAGUCCUUUGUAAGACAUGUGACUUGCAAAUACUUUCUACCAUCUGUGGUUUGUCUUUUAUCCUCUUGACAGGGUCUUUCACAGAACAAAAGUUUUAGCAUCUUUUCUUCUUGAGAAUGUGUUUUUGGUGUCAGUCUAAGAGGGCUUCACCUAGUCCUAGGUUCCAAAGUUCUGUUCUGUGUUUAUUUUCUAAAUGUUUAAGUGGGAUGUGAGGUCUAGCUCGAGGGUUGAGUUUUUGACUUGGAUGUUCUAUUGCUUCAGCACUAUUUGUUGAAAAGACAAUCUUUUUCUACAUUGAAUUGUUUCUGCAUCUUUGUCAGAAG